rnacentral:rRNA from 1 species
UACGGGGGGGGCAAGCGUUGUUCGGAAUUACUGGGCGUAAAGGGCUCGUAGGCGGCCAACUAAGUCAGACGUGAAAUCCCUCGGCUUAACCGGGGAACUGCGUCUGAUACUGGAUGGCUUGAGUUUGGGAGAGGAGCGCGGAAUUCCUGGUGUAGCGGUGAAAUGCGCAGAUAUCAGGAGGAACACCGAUGGCGAAGGCAGCUCACUGGGACGGUACUGACGCUGAGACGCGAAAGCGUGGGGAGCAAACAGG